ensembl:snRNA LOC120099064 U1 spliceosomal RNA
AUAUUAACCCAGAAUAGGAGAUAUCAUGAUCAUGAAAGUGGUUUUCUCAGGGAGAGGAUUUUUUCAUUGUACUCUGAAUUGCUGUCCCCCAAAUGGGGGAAACUCAACUGCAUAAUUUGUGGUAGUGGAAGACUACAUUCGUUCUCUCCCC